AGUGAACGCUGGCGGUAGGCCUAACACAUGCAAGUCGAACGGCAGCACAGUAAGAGCUUGCUCUUACGGGUGGCGAGUGGCGGACGGGUGAGGAAUACAUCGGAAUCUACUUUUUCGUGGGGGAUAACGUAGGGAAACUUACGCUAAUACCGCAUACGACCUACGGGUGAAAGCAGGGGAUCUUCGGACCUUGCGCGAUUGAAUGAGCCGAUGUCGGAUUAGCUAGUUGGCGGGGUAAAGGCCCACCAAGGCGACGAUCCGUAGCUGGUCUGAGAGGAUGAUCAGCCACACGGGAACUGAGACACGGCCCAGAUCCCUAGGGGGGGCAGGAGUGGGGAAUAUUGGACAAGGGGCGCAAGCCUGAUCCAGCCAUACCGGGUGGGUGAAGAAGGCCUUCGGGUUGUAAAGCCCUUUUUUUGGGAAAAAAAAGCAGCAGGUUAAUACCCCGCUGUUCUGACGGUACCCAAAGAAAAAGCACCGGCUAACUUCGU
rnacentral:rRNA from 1 species